GUAAUUGUUGUUUUUGUACACUAAGUCUGCUGCAACCUCCAUUUAUCCGCUUCCGAUUCCAUGUCUAGGCCCCUUCUCUAGAGAUGACAUUGUGAUGUACCAACCUGGAAAACAAGGAUUUAUUUUCAAAAAAGUGAUCAUUUCUUGAGAAUAUCUAGGAUUGUUGAAACUGGAGGUUCUGUUCCAAUUUGCAAGACAAAAGUUGUAAACAAUAACAUAAACCCCAUAUGGAGUCCUGUCUGUCUAGUUAUGCAACAAUUUUUGGAUAAGGGAAAUUCAUUUGUACAGCGCGUCGACUUUAACAGCAGUGAAAAUUAUGUCCUCGUUGGGAAAAUACAAAAAGAAAAGAAAAGGGGACAUACCUGAGAAGCAACUGUAUAGUUUUCCCGACUAUAUUUCUAGUGGAUUUGAGCUUAGCUUUAUGUUUUCUUUGUCGUUUGUUUUAAGUUUUAUUAAAUUUCAGCUUAGCGCUUUGUUGGUAUAAACGUGAAAACUUCAUGCCAAAGAGAACUUGCUCCUACCAUUAAACUAGUUGCAAGAAGAGUUCUAUGAAUAUGCCCUGAGAACACAGUAGGGCAGCCCAGAGCACUCAGCUCCCGCUAUGUGCGGGGUCCUGGGAAGGGCCGAACCACAAGGGUCUGAUUGCAUCAUAUACAAGCUAUGUAAGAUUCUGAGCAUUCACUAAGAACACAAAGUAUCUAACCGACGUGAGAAAUUAUGCAGUGUUUCUUGAGCAGGGUAACCAAAAUGCUUUAAGAAUCGACUGAAUGGUCCUCUAUAAGAGCAAUUUACUAUAACAUCUAAGUUUUUUUUCUCUAUAACAACACUUACUAUAGUAGCCAAAGAAUGUCGCAACAAACGAGGUUGUUAUAGAGAGGUUGAGGCUGUUAUAGAGAGGUUUGACUGUAUUUAAUAUAUCCCUCUUUUCCGCUUUCAAAACUGGCUUUUUAUAAUCCAAGAUGAACAUGUCUGUUUGUAAUUAUACAUGUUUUUACAUUCAGACGCUAUAUCUGUUGGUUUGCUAGUUAUUCUCACAAAACAUUGCAACACAUUGCAACAGCCAUGUCAAUGAGCUGAUUUAAGGUGACUACUAUUUCGUUUGAUCAAGAUCUCUAUAUAUAACCCCCUUUCUCCAUCCACUUUUCUUUUAAUUUGAAUAUCUUUCUCUAGGUUAUCGAAUUUGCAAUGAAGGCAUUGUUAUUUACCAGUCUUGGUUGCAACCAGAAGUUCCAUGCAAACUGCUAAUGAUGCACCAUUUCAUUUGAUGUGAUUUCUUUAGUAUAAUUUAGCUGAUUCUGUUCAUUUUUUACAUUUAUAUAUAUGUAGCUUUGUCCAUUUAGUGAUUGCAUGAAUGCUAUAUCUUGAUUUUCUUUUAAUGCACUGAAACUAUAAAUGGACGUACAGGCAAUGGGUCAAGGUAUACAGUAUGCGCACGUCAUGGGUUCGAACGCUGCCGCAAAGAAAAGCCUGGUAUCUAAGUGGGGAAGGGUAGGGACGCGAUCCACCAAGCUUUGAGUUGUGCAACACUGGCCCUUGGAGUUUUCUCAGUCAUCAAAAAAAGAAAAUGAAUCAAGGUAUAACUGCAUAUAUAUAAUGCUCAUUCUUGAAUAGAGUGAGAUUUGGCAUGCUACUAUUUGCAUGAAUAGUAACUUAAUUUACAAGCCUCUGAAAUUCUACAUGAUUAGUAACUUAGGCAGCAAAAAUUCUGAACCCAAAAUCUCCAGAUUUUGAUAAAUUCGUUUAGCUCUCACUUUACCUGUUGCUAUUCUCACAAUAUUUACCAACUGAAACAAAAAAAGGCAGCUCGGUGCACAAGAUAUCUGCAUUCACGUAGGGUUCGAGAAAGAGCCGCAUCUCAAAAGGUGUAUGUAGACAGCCUAUCCUAAUACAAGUAUUAAUGGCUUGCUUCCACGGAUUGAAUCCAUGACCUAUAGAUCUAACGAAAACAACUUUACGUUGCUCCAAAGCUCCCCUUCACUUACCAACUGAAACAAUUUCAGGAAAAUAUGAACAUGAACAAUAGUUAAUUCCCUGAAGAUCCGCUUAUUGGCUCAAGGAAAAGAAGAGAUGAAAAUAGAUAUGAGCGUUACACUAUGUUGAAUGCUGAUAUUAGUAAAUUUGAUUAUUAUACUAUUGAAUUUAUAUAUGUUAGAUGAGCGUUACACUAUUGUAUUUUCAAAAACAUUGAGAAGUGCAGAUGAGAAAAUUUGAAUGGUAGAUGGUACAUUUUUUUUCUUUACAUUUUGCUUUUAUUAAUUUAGAUCCUUAGGACUUGCCAACUCUACCUACCUGUUCAAUUGGUUGUUGAGCUUUAAAAAUCUAAACUAAUAAAGAACUAUAUCCCAGAGAUUUUGCUCUGAUGUCUAGAUUACAUCAACUAUUUCUUGAUUUUUCCUUUGUCUAUCUUCUUUUUAAUUGCUUGACUUAGGAAUCUUGCAGAUAUUUCUAAUUAAUUUAUUCUAUUUCCUCAGUCUUGAAUUUAAUUUGCUUUCUUUUUUGGAAUCUCUUGAAACUCACUGUUGAUUCUUUUUUUAACAUAGAAGUACCUGGUAGGUAUGUUUAAGCAAUUUUUAGCCACUUUUACUACUACUAUAGAAAAAGCUUCUUUUAUGCAGCAACGAAGUUAGAAUUUUCAUUAAAGAGUGUCAAAAUUUUAAGAAGUAAAUAUACAAACAAGUCAUGGAAAUUCAAUACAUAAUAUAUAUAUUUAAAAAGAUAACUUUUACCUAUCUAAACAGUAAAAGCCAUUGUUGCGCCAAAAAUUAUAGCUCCGCCCUAUUUGGUGGUGAGAAUAUCCCAUGGUAGAAGAACCCUUUUACAAGAGGUGUCAUCCAACAUUGUUGCGCAAAAAAUUGUGGCUCCGCCCCUCUGUGGGCAUGUCCCGUGACAGAAGCACCCUUCUACAAGAGAUUGUAGGUGUCAUCCAACAUCGUUGCGCCGCAAAUUGUGGCUCCGCCCCCAUUGGGUGGUGGGAAUGUCCUGUGGCGGAAGCAGAAUCACCCUUCUACAAGAGGUUGUAGGUGUCAUCCAACAUCGUUGCGCCAAAUAUUGUAGCUCUGCCUCUAUCGGGUGGUGGGAAUGUCCCGUGGCGAAAGCACCCUUCUACAAGAGGUGUCAUCCAACAUCGCCGCGCCAAAAAUUUACAAAUAUAUAACUAAAUAAGAUCUUCCUCUAUAAAACAAUAUGUUUAUAUAUUCAUCUCAUGAAUCUAAUUACCACUAUUCAAUUGAAAAGCCAUUGUUGUCUUUUUUUAGCUUUUGUUCCUAUCAACUAUAUGAUAUUCAUGUGAUUGGAUGGGCAUUUAUGGCCAAAAAAUUGAGUAGGCUAAACAUCUUACUAACAAUUUUAUUACAUAUAACAUGUGAUUGCCUUAAAUGAGAGAUUAUAUUAGGCACCUCAUCCCAUAGAUAGACAUGUUUUAAAGUUUCUGGAUUUGGUAUUAAAAAUUAGAUGUAUAAUUUUACUCUCAACAAUAUCUUUUUUCUUUUCUCUAGAACCUAAUCAACUUGUGCUACAAAUAGGAGCGGAUGCAGCAGGAUUUGAAACUAGGGAAUUCAAAAAAAAAAAAAAAAAAAAUUAAAAUGUCAUAGCUAACGGUCAAAUUUAUGACCUAAAACAUUUUAUGAACAUCGUUUAUUCGACAUAUACCAUAAAAAGGAAAAAAAAUCACUUAUAUAUAAUAUAAUUUUCUGACAAAAAAAAUAAAUCAAUUGACCACCCUCGGCUAAUAUGACUCCACCACUGGCCACAAAGGCGUAAAUCUUUUUUCUUGAUCUAUUGUUAACUAUGUUUUUUUUUUUGUUAUUUUGGAAAAGGUGUCUUCUCAAUUACUCCGUCGUGAUGAGGUGCUUUCCUUUUUUAUCCGUUCCAAAAUAAAUGACACAUUUCUAAAUUUGGAAAUAAUUUAACUUUAAACUCUUUAUUUUACUCAUUUUACUAUUAAUGAGAAACUUUUAUAACUAUACAAAUAUUAUGGCCCCACAAAACUUUUACCCCUUAAACUUUUAAAGUAAUAAGUUUUAAAAGCCUUUUUUUCUUAAACUCCGUGCGAGUACAUCAGAAAUAAAAGAUGGUGGGACCAGUGGCGGACCCAGGAUUUUGUGCCAGCGGGUUCAGUCGAAGAAGUCCAUAACUAACAUAAGCGGUAUAAGCCGUAUAAGUGAGUUCAAAAAUAAUUUUUAUACAAAAUUUAUCUUGCUUUAGCCAUAAUUUAUACAUAUACACAGUAUUAUUUUUUAACGAAGCGGUUCAAUUGAACCCACUUCUCACCACUUGGGUCCGCCCUUGGGUGGGACCGACCCCAUUCCAUCGAACAAGCCGUAGCUAAAACGUGAGUAACUUGAUUCGCCGAUUUUCUAACUAAAAAUACAGGAACUAAUUGAAAACCCUUUAUUAAUGUCUUACAAUCAUUGACAAUAGAGUCAAAAUCAAUAUAGAUGGUAGUUUCUUGAUUGAGAAUAGUAAAGCAGGAAUUGAUGACACAGUUAAAAAAAAUAGUACAGGAGAGUUAAUCAUAACUUACUCCGUCAAAACUCAAUGUUGCUCUAACAACGAAGCUUGAGAUGGUGCAAUCAGAAUGGGUUCAACCGAUAUGACUUGGACAUGGAUUCUCUAAUCUUCACCAAC
rnacentral:lncRNA from 1 species